UACGUAGGUGGCAAGCGUUGUCCGGAUUUACUUGGCGUAAAGAGCGCGCAGGCGGUCAGAUAAGUCGAAUGUGAAAGCCCCCGGCUCAACUGGGGAGGGUCAUUCGAUACUGUUCGACUCGAAGGCAGGAGAGGGAAGCGGAAUUCCCGGUGUAGUGGUGAAAUGCGUAGAUAUCGGGAGGAACACCAGUGGCGAAGGCGGCUUCCUGGCCUGUUCUUGACGCUGAGGCGCGAAAGCUAGGGGAGCAAACGGG
rnacentral:rRNA from 1 species